rnacentral:rRNA from 1 species
AGCCCAUGCAUGUUCUAAGUAUAAGCAAUUAUACAGCGAAACUGCGAAUGGCUCAUUAAAUCAGUUAUCGUUUAUUUGAUAGUACCUUACUACAUGGAUAACCGUGGUAAUUCUAGAGCUAAUACAUGCUGAAAACCCCGACUUCGGAAGGGGUGUAUUUAUUAGAUUAAAAACCAAUGCCCUCCGGGGCUUACUGGUGAUUCAUGAUAACUUCUCGAAUCGCACGGCCUUGCGCCGGCGAUGGUUCAUUCAAAUUUCUGCCCUAUCAACUUUCGACGGCUGGGUCUUGGCCAGCCGUGGUGACAACGGGUAACGGAGGGUUAGGGCUCGACCCCGGAGAAAACGCCUGAGAAACGGCGUUUACAUCCAAGGAAGGCAGCAGGCGCGCAAAUUACCCAAUGCCGACACGGCGAGGUAGUGACGAGAAAUACUGAUACAGGGCUCUUUUGGGUCUUGUAAUUGGAAUGAGUACAAUUUAAAUCCCUUAACGAGGAACAAUUGGAGGGCAAGUCUGGUGCCAGCAGCCGCGGUAAUUCCAGCUCCAAUAGCGUAUAUUAAAGUUGUUGCAGUUAAAAAGCUCGUAGUUGAACCUUGGGCCUGGCUGGCCGGUCCGCCUCACCGCGUGCACUGGUCCGGCCGGGCCUUUCCCUCUGGGGAACCCCAUGCCCUUCACUGGGCGUGGCGGGGAACCAGGACUUUUACUUUGAAAAAAUUAGAGUGUUCAAAGCACGCCUAUGCUCGAAUACAUUAGCAUGGAAUAAUAGAAUAGACGUGCGGGUUCUAUUUUGUUGGUUUCUAGGACCGCCGUAAUGAUUAAUAGGGACAGUCGGGGCGUCAGUAUUCAAUUGUCAGAGGUGAAAUUCUUGGAUUUAUUGAAGACUAACUACUGCGAAAGCAUUCGCCAAGGAUGUU